GAUGAACGCUGGCGGCGUGCCUAAUACAUGCAAGUCGAGCGAACGGACGAGAAGCUUGCUUCUCUGAUGUUAGCGGCGGACGGGUGAGUAACACGUGGAUAACCUACCUAUAAGACUGGGAUAACUUCGGGAAACCGGAGCUAAUACCGGAUAAUAUUUUGAACCGCAUGGUUCAAAAGUGAAAGACGGUCUUGCUGUCACUUAUAGAUGGAUCCGCGCUGCAUUAGCUAGUUGGUAAGGUAACGGCUUACCAAGGCAACGAUGCAUAGCCGACCUGAGAGGGUGAUCGGCCACACUGGAACUGAGACACGGUCCAGACUCCUACGGGAGGCAGCAGUAGGGAAUCUUCCGCAAUGGGCGAAAGCCUGACGGAGCAACGCCGCGUGAGUGAUGAAGGUCUUCGGAUCGUAAAACUCUGUUAUUAGGGAAGAACAUAUGUGUAAGUAACUGUUCACAUCUUGACGGUACCUAAUCAGAAAGCCACGGCUAACUACAUG
rnacentral:rRNA from 1 species